rnacentral:misc_RNA from 1 species
CCGAGUUAUACAACUCAUCAACCCCUGUGAACAUACCUAUACUGUUGCCUCGGCGGAUCACGCCCGUACACGGCCCCCGCCAGAGGACCCCCUAACUCUGUUUCUAUAAUGUUUCUUCUGAGUAAACAAGCAAAUAAAUUA